AGCGGUUCUAGGGUGACCCACCCCGGAAUCAGGCUCCCUCCUCUCUGGUUCCUGGUGCGUCACCCGAGAACCACA
rfam:Myotis lucifugus cont2.14141, whole genome shotgun sequence.